GGGGAUAUAACUCAGUGGCAUGAGUGCCUGCCUGGCAAGCACAAAGUCCUGAGUUUGAUUCUUGGUACCA
rnacentral:tRNA from 1 species